rnacentral:rRNA from 1 species
UUGAUUACGUCCCUGCCCUUUGUACACACCGCCCGUCGCUGCCCGGGACUGAGCCAUUUCGAGAAAUUUGGGGACUGUUGAUUUAACUUUUUUUUAAAAAGUUUUUUUGAUGGAAACCAAUUUAAUCGCAGUGGCUUGAACCGGGCAAAAGUCGUAACAAGGUAGCUGUAGGUGAACCUGCUGCUG